CAGAAUUAGACUGUUGUUAAAAAAAAAAAAAAAAAAAAGUAGAUUGGGUGGACUAAAUCCCAAGUGAGCCCAAAUCUAAGUUGGACUGCCUUCUGAUAGUGCUAGUUAAACAUCACAUGAAACAGCAUGUAAUCUUGUGAUUAUAGAAGCAAUAACUUAAUUACAGCUUUCUAUGGAUUCUUGCUCAACACAAAAGCCUUCCUGAAAUGAAGAAGCUUAGAGAAUGUAGUUGAAAUCAUUUUUGUCUGGAGGGAAAAAGAAACCAACCAUCACCACAACAACAAAUAAAGAAUUUAUCUUCCAAAAAAUGUUGAUGAAUGAUGUCACGUUCCAGAGUUACAUAGAAUCAUAGAAUCACUAAGGUUGGAAAAGACCCACAGGAUCAUCCAGUCCAACCAUUUGCCCUUCACCAAUGGUUCUCACUGAACCAUGUCCCUCAACACAACAUCCAAACGCUCUUUGAACACCUCCAGGCUCGGUGACUCCACCACCUCUCUGGGCAGCCCAUUCCAGUGCCUGACCACCCUUUCAGAGAAGUAGUAUUUCCUAACAUGAGAAGGGCCAGAUUGGUGCUAAGCCCAGGAGACCAAUCACAUGGCCAAAAUAGUUUAGGUAUUGUCACAAGCGGCACAGCUCUCCCUUCUGCUCUCCACCUCAACUCACAUCUUGUUUUCCCCUUGAAUAUCAUGAUGCUUCAUGUAAAGUCACAUGAACAGAGGCUUUAGCCUGGGGUUUGCAGUGGCAGCACUUCAGUGUUGAUUAUGAGCCAUUCUGAUGUUUUCCACUGAUUACCAUUUGAGUUCCUCCCUUACACAAAAUGAUUCCUCAUGCUUCUGUUGUCCUCUUUCCUAAGAGAAAAGUGCAUUCCCUAAUACUGAAAGGCAGAUAAAGAACAUGUUCCCCAAACAAAGCACAGCUAGCCUGUGGCCAGCCUCUUCCUCAGUAUUCUGCUACGUCAACAUCUUUCCUAGAUCCCCCAAACGAUUAUGCAUUUGUACUGCUGAGGAAAAUACCCAGAGGUACCAUAAAGCCAAAAGCUUUGGCAGGAAUUUGUCUCCUCAAUCUUCCUUCAAGGUACAAAACAACUUCUCACACAAGUAGAGGAAAAAGAAACUUAUUUUAUAUUUUGAAAAUAUAGAAACUGCUUACUUUCUAUGUCUGUAAUACAUCUAGUACCUCC
ensembl:lncRNA